UGGGGAAUUUUGGACAAUGGGCGAAAGCCUGAUCCAGCAAUGCCGCGUGUGUGAAGAAGGCCUUCGGGUUGUAAAGCACUUUUGUCCGGAAAGAAAUCCUUGGCUCUAAUACAGUCGGGGGAUGACGGUACCGGAAGAAUAAGCACCGGCUAACUACGUGCCAGCAGCCGCGGUAAUACGUAGGGUGCAAGCGUUAAUCGGAAUUACUGGGCGUAAAGCGUGCGCAGGCGGUUUGCUAAGACCGAUGUGAAAUCCCCGGGCUCAACCUGGGAACUGCAUUGGUGACUGGCAGGCUAGAGUAUGGCAGAGGGGGGUAGAAUUCCACGUGUAGCAGUGAAAUGCGUAGAGAUGUGGAGGAAUACCGAUGGCGAAGGCAGCCCCCUGGCAAGUACUGACGCUCAUGCACGAAAGCGUGGGGAGCAAACNGGAUUAAUGCCCUGGUAGUCCACGCCCUAAANGAUGUCAACUAGUUGUUGGGGAUUCAUUUCCUUAGUAACGUAGCUAACGCGUGAAGUUGACCGCCUGGGGAGUACGGUCGCAAGAUUAAAACUUAAAU
rnacentral:rRNA from 1 species